AACAAGUGACCAUAACGCAAGUUAUACCUGAUACCAUUCCGAACUCAGUAGUCAAGACUUGUGGUGCCGACGAUACCCGCUGGGGAAAAUAGGGAGUUGCUUUUU
rnacentral:rRNA from 2 species